AAAGAGAGGUAUGCGGGUACAUACCUCUCCUUUUAUACCAACACCAGUUAUAAGAACUGGUGGCUUACUGAGUUAAGUUUUGAAUCUUAACCGUUCGGCCUACGAAGCUUG
rnacentral:antisense_RNA from 14 species